GAGUUUGAUCCUGGCUCAGGAUGAACGCCAGCUACAGGCUUAACACAUGCAAGUCGAGGGGCAACAUCGCGAUAGCUUGCUAUUGCGGAUGGCGACCGGCGCACGGGUGAGUAACGCGUAUCCAACCUUCCCGCGACUGGGGAAUAACCUUGCGAAAGUAAGACUAAUACCCCAUGGUCUCCACGGAUGGCAUCUGAAAUGGAGUAAAGGUUUCGGCCGGUUGCGGAUGGGGAUGCGUCCGAUUAGCUUGACGGCGGGGUAACGGCCCACCGUGGCAUCGAUCGGUAGGGGUUCUGAGAGGAAGGUCCCCCACAUUGGAACUGAGACACGGUCCAAACUCCUACGGGAGGCAGCAGUGAGGAAUAUUGGUCAAUGGGCGGAAGCCUGAACCAGCCAAGUAGCGUGAAGGACGACUGCCCUAUGGGUUGUAAACUUCUUUUAUGCGGGGAUAAAGUUCGCCACGUGUGGCGUUUUGCAGGUACCGCAUGAAUAAGGACCGGCUAAUUCCGUGCCAGCAGCCGCGGUAAUACGGAAGGUCAGGCGUUAUCCGGAUUCAUUGGGUUUAAAGGGAGCGUAGGCCGCCUUUUAAGCGUGUUGUGAAAUGUAGGGGCUCAACCCCUGCACUGCAGCGCGAACUGGAGGGCUUGAGUACACACAAAGUANGCGGAAUNCAUGGUGUAGCGGUGAAAUGCUUAGAUAUCAUGAAGAACCCCGAUGGCGAAGGCAGCUUACUGGAGUGUAACUGACGCUGAAGCUCGAAAGCGCGGUAUCGGAACAGGAUUAGAUACGCUGGUAGUCCGCGCGGUAAACGAUGGAUGCCCGCUGUUGGCCACUUUGGUAAGCGGCCAAGCGAAAGCGUUAAGCAUCCCACGUGGGGAGUACGCCGGCAACGGUGAAACUCAAAGGAAUUGACGGGGGCCCGCACAAGCGGAGGAACAUGUGGUUUAAUUCGAUGAUACGCGAGGAACCUUACCCGGGCUUGAAUUGCAGGAGAACGAUCCAGAGAUGGUGAGGCCCUUCGGGGCUCCUGUGAAGGUGCUGCAUGGUUGUCGUCAGCUCGUGCCGUGAGGUGUCGGCUUAAGUGCCAUAACGAGCGCAACCCCUCUCCGUAGUUGCCAUCGGGUGAAGCCGGGCACUCUGCGGAUACUGCCACCGUAAGGUGUGAGGAAGGUGGGGAUGACGUCAAAUCAGCACGGCCCUUACGUCCGGGGCUACACACGUGUUACAAUGGGGCAUACAGAAAGCAGGCGGCCGGCAACGUCCGUCUAAUCAUCAAAGCGUCCCUCAGUUCGGACUGGGGUCUGCAACCCGACCCCACGAAGCUGGAUUCGCUAGUAAUCGCGCAUCAGCCAUGGCGCGGUGAAUACGUUCCCGGGGCUUGUACACACCGCCCGUCA
rnacentral:rRNA from 1 species